GACGAACGCUGGCGGCGUGCUUAACACAUGCAAGUCGAACGGAAAGGCCCUGCUUUUGUGGGGUGCCCGAGUGGCGAACGGGUGAGUAACACGUGAGUAACCUGCCCUUGACUUUGGGAUAACUUCAGGAAACUGGGGCUAAUACCGGAUAGGAGCUCCUGCUGCAUGGUGGGGGUUGGAAAGUUUCGGCGGUUGGGGAUGGACUCGCGGCUUAUCAGCUUGUUGGUGGGGUAGUGGCUUACCAAGGCAUUGACGGGUAGCCGGCCUGAGAGGGUGACCGGCGACAUUGGGACUGAGAUACGGCGCAGACUCCUACGGGAGGCAGCAGUGGGAAAUAUUGCACAAUGGGCGGAAGCCUGAUGCAGCAACGCCGCGUGCGGGAUGACGGCCUUCGGGUUGUAAACCGCUUUCGCCUGUGACGAAGCGUGAGUGACGGUAAUGGGUAAAGAAGCACCGGCUAACUACGUG
rnacentral:rRNA from 1 species